UACUACAUAAAGUACUAUACAUACAUACUCUCAUUUAAUUUUGCUCCAAAGUCUGAGGUGUUUAUGUACGACUUCCACCUUAUAGGCAAGGAAACUGAAUGUUAGUGAGGCAGUGAUUCCUUAGAUGUCACUGUAUGUGUGAUGUCAAAGUUUAUGCAUCUAAAAAUGACACUGGCAUACUGUUCUCUGUUUGCAAACUUUCAUGCUGUUGUGGAUUUUGUGCUAAAGGAGAACAGUGAGAGAUAUGCCCCCAAGGUAUAUCCUGGACGAAUGAGGGAGCUGGACUUGGAGAUCUCUCCCACCUCUGAAGUUGUGUGAGUGAAGGAUACUGGGGUCAUGGAGUGACACCAAGGGUACUGUGACCACGCUGCUAUUCAAAGACUUAUUCAAAGUUAUCAAAUGGACUAACCAUGUGGGGCUGUGGUUUAACAAGGAAAACAGCCAGAAUAAACAUGUCAGUGUCUC